rnacentral:lncRNA from 1 species
GAAAACGUUUUACAAAGGAUUAUACUUGAAUCACUUACAGUCAGUAUUUAAAAAUACAAGGAUACCUAACUGGGAUUUUUCCCCCCAGCCAUAAACAUCUGCAUAACUCUUGGAUGCUAGUGGGCUGCUGAGAUCCGUCUGUGGACCGGGUUUGUUGAUGUGCUUUCAAAGGAGCCGCCCGGGAGAAGUGCAAACGGGGCUCAGCAGGGAGAGGGUCUUUUCCCCCUUCUGUUUUGGAAGGAUCGCAUUGGAUCUCAG